AAACGCGUGGGAAUCUACCUGAUAGUUGGGGAUAGCCCGGAGAAACCCGGAUUAAUACCGAAUAAGUUCUACGGAAGAAAAGGUGCCUCUGCUUGCAAGCACUUGCUAACAGAUGASCCCGCGUUAGAUUASUUUGUUGGUGGGGUAACGGCCNACCAAGACUGCGAUCUAUAGCUGGUUUGAGAGGAUGANCAGCCACANUGGGACUGAGACACGGCCCAGACUCCUACGGGAGGCAGCAGUGGGGAAUAUUGGACAAUGGGCGCAAGCCUGAUCCASCAANACCGCGUGUGUGAAGAAGGCCNUCGGGUUGUAAAGCACUUUUAUGUAGGAAGAAGGAUUAAUGGUUAAUAGCCAUUGAUANUGACGGUACUACAAGAAUAAGCACCGGCUAACUCCGUGCCAGCAGCCGCGGUAAUACGGAGGGUGCGAGCGUUAAUCGGAAUUACUGGGCGUAAAGGGUACGUAGGCGGCUUGAUAAGUCAGAUGUGAAAUCCCCGGGCUUAACCUGGGAACUGCAUUUGAAACUGUCU
rnacentral:rRNA from 1 species